AUGCUGGAGGUAUCAGAAGUGCGAAUGCUGACAUGAGUAACGAUAAAGCGGGUGAAAAGCCCGCUCGCCGGAAGACCAAGGGUUCCUGUCCAACGUUAAUCGGGGCAGGGUGAGUCGACCCCUAAGGCGAGGCCGAAAGGCGUAGUCGAUGGGAAACGGGUUAAUAUUCCCGUACUCGGUGUUACUGCGAUGGGGGAACGGAGAAGGCUAUGUCAUCCGGGCGACGGUCGUCCCGGUUUAAGCGUGUAGGCUGACUUUCCAGGCAAAUCCGGAGAGUUAAGGCUGAGGCGUGAUGACGAGGCACUACGGUGCUGAAGUGACAAAUGCCCUGCUUCCAGGAAAAGCCUCUAAGCUUCAGGUAACAACGAAUCGUACCCGAAACCGACACAGGUGGUCAGGUAGAGAAUACCAAGGCGCUUGAGAGAACCCGGGUGAAGGAACUAGGCAAAAUGGUGCCGUAACUUCGGGAGAAGGCACGCUGACAUGUAGGUGAAGCCCCUGCGGGUGGAGCUGAAGUCAGUCGAAGAUACCAGCUGGCUGCAACUGUUUAUUAAAAACACAGCACUCUGCAAACACGAAAGUGGACGUAUAGGGUGUGACGCCUGCCCGGUGCCGGAAGGUUAAUUGAUGGGGUUAUGGGUAACCAGAAGCUCCUGAUCGAAGCCCCGGUAAACGGCGGCCGUAACUAUAACGGUCCUAAGGUAGCGAAAUUCCUUGUCGGGUAAGUUCCGACCUGCACGAAUGGCGUAAUGAUGGCCAGGCUGUCUCCACCCGGGACUCAGUGAAAUUGAACUCGCUGUGAAGAUGCAGUGUACCCGCGGCAAGACGGAAAGACCCCGUGAACCUUUACUAUAGCUUGACACUGAACAUUGAGCCUUGAUGUGUAGGAUAGGUGGGAGGCUUUGAAGCGUGGACGCAAGUCUGCGUGGAGCCAACCUUGAAAUACCACCCUUUAAUGUUUGAUGUUCUAACCUGGCGCCAUUAUCUGGCGUGGGGACAGUGUCUGGUGGGUAGUUUGACUGGGGCGGUCUCCUCCCAAAGAGUAACGGAGGAGCACGAAGGUUGGCUAAUCCUGGUCGGACAUCAGGAGGUUAGUGCAAUGGCAUAAGCCAGCUUGACUGCGAGCGUGACGGCGCGAGCAGGUGCGAAAGCAGGUCAUAGUGAUCCGGUGGUUCUGAAUGGAAGGGCCAUCGCUCAACGGAUAAAAGGUACUCCGGGGAUAACAGGCUGAUACCGCCCAAGAGUUCAUAUCGACGGCGGUGUUUGGCACCUCGAUGUCGGCUCAUCACAUCCUGGGGCUGAAGUAGGUCCCAAGGGUAUGGCUGUUCGCCAUUUAAAGUGGUACGCGAGCUGGGUUUAGAACGUCGUGAGACAGUUCGGUCCCUAUCUGCCGUGGGCGCUGGAAGACUGAGGGGGGCUGCUCCUAGUACGAGAGGACCGGAGUGGACGCACCACUGGUGUUCGGGUUGUGAUGCCAAUUGCAUUGCCCGGUAGCUAAGUGCGGAAAAGAUAAGUGCUGAAAGCAUCUAAGCACGAAACUUGCCCCGAGAUGAGUCUUCCCUGAGACCUUUGAGUCUCCUGAAGGGACGUUGAAGACGACGACGUUGAUAGGCCGGGUGUGUAAGCGCAGCGAUGCGUUGAGCUAACCGGUACUAAUGACCCGAGAGGCUUAACCUUACAACGCCAAAG
rnacentral:rRNA from 1 species